UCGAGCUGCUUCCGCGGCG
rnacentral:snRNA from 1 species